rfam:Haemonchus contortus, ISE/inbred ISE, WGS project CAVP01000000 data, contig: Hcontortus_20189
GGUCCAAAUUUGAAGUAGAGUAGGUAAGAAAGAUCACCAGACCCUACUAAACUACUCUACUUCGAGUUUGUGCCC